GCUCCCGGAGCGCCCCCGGAUGUAGCGCCGCCAGCGCACAGGAGGGGCAGGAACGAGUGCGCCUGGGACCAGCGGUGCCCUGGUUUAAACAAGAAGGCAAAAGGGAAGGGCAGCCGAAGGCACAUUCUACCCUGGCUGGAGCCACCUGGAGAUGCAGCCCUUUCUCCCCAUUUGGAGCUGCCUAUUAUCAUGGAAAGAUUCACAAAGAUUUGUUAGGGAAACCAGAAUCGCCAGUCCUUUGAAGAUCCCCAGCCCUUUUGCACACCUGCAGGCUUUGCAGACCUCCAGCCUGCUAACCUGUUAACUGCCCGUCUGGCACUCCCUUUGGCUAUUUCCCCAUGUAACCCCAACCCUUGCAUAUCGCUAAGCCCUUUGAAGACCCCUAGUCCUUUUGCAUAUCUGUAAACUGCCCUUUUGCCUUUGUGCUUUUGCUAUGUAAGCAACUGGCUUAUGGUGGGGUGCAGAGCAGAUUUCUGUGGCUGACCUGCUGUUCUCUCAUACUGCGGGCAGUACUGGAAUAAAUGCUCAUCUAUGAUUCA